rnacentral:rRNA from 1 species
AUUUGCGGGCGUGCUUUACACAUGCAAGUCGAACGGUGAAGCCAAGCUUGCUUGGUGGAUCAGUGGCGAACGGGUGAGUAACACGUGAGCAACCUGCCCUGGACUCUGGGAUAAGCGCUGGAAACGGCGUCUAAUACUGGAUAUGAGACGUGAUCGCAUGGUCGUGUUUGGAAAGAUUUUUCGGUCUGGGAUGGGCUCGCGGCCUAUCAGCUUGUUGGUGAGGUAAUGGCUCACCAAGGCGUCGACGGGUAGCCGGCCUGAGAGGGUGACCGGCCACACUGGGACUGAGACACGGCCCAGACUCCUACGGGAGGCAGCAGUGGGGAAUAUUGCACAAUGGGCGAAAGCCUGAUGCAGCAACGCCGCGUGAGGGAUGACGGCCUUCGGGUUGUAAACCUCUUUUAGCAGGGAAGAAGCGAAAGUGACGGUACCUGCAGAAAAAGCGCCGGCUAACUACGUGCCAGCAGCCGCGGUAAUACGUAGGGCGCAAGCGUUAUCCGGAAUUAUUGGGCGUAAAGAGCUCGUAGGCGGUUUGUCGCGUCUGCUGUGAAAUCCCGAGGCUCAACCUCGGGCCUGCAGUGGGUACGGGCAGACUAGAGUGCGGUAGGGGAGAUUGGAAUUCCUGGUGUAGCGGUGGAAUGCGCAGAUAUCAGGAGGAACACCGAUGGCGAAGGCAGAUCUCUGGGCCGUAACUGACGCUGAGGAGCGAAAGGGUGGGGAGCAAACAGGCUUAGAUACCCUGGUAGUCCACCCCGUAAACGUUGGGAACUAGUUGUGGGGACCAUUCCACGGUUUCCGUGACGCAGCUAACGCAUUAAGUUCCCCGCCUGGGGAGUACGGCCGCAAGGCUAAAACUCAAAGGAAUUGACGGGGACCCGCACAAGCGGCGGAGCAUGCGGAUUAAUUCGAUGCAACGCGAAGAACCUUACCAAGGCUUGACAUAUACGAGAACGGGCCAGAAAUGGUCAACUCUUUGGACACUCGUAAACAGUGGUGCAUG